rnacentral:lncRNA from 1 species
CUAUAACAUGAGCUGCUCAGUAUGUGUAGAUAAUCCUUGCUACCGCAGCUUUUUUGACAGAUACAACAUUAGCCAUAGAGAUCUGCAGAAGUGUUGCUACUGCUCUCGACAACAGUGCUGCCCAGAAUUUAGCAGGCACAAUUGACAAAGAUCAGUGGGAAAAAGUUGUAAUGGACUACUUUUCUGCACAAGAGCUGCGUGUCCAAGUUCGUGGGCUAGAAGAACCAUCCUCACAUUUAUGUAAAAUGCCAUAUCUCCCCUGGACCACACCUGCAGCCUGGAACCUGGGACCAUGCCUCAGGCCUGAUGACUCCUUGCUGUCCCCAAUCCACCUGGUCGUGCUGCUGUUCCAGUUUCAACUAUUCUGCCUGCGGCUAUGGAACCCUGACCUGUUCACCAGGCGUGCUACCUUGUCCUGGACCUGCUGUUUUCGACUCGCUCUCUCUACCGCACCUGCUGUCUAACUCUGAAUGCUCGGCUAUGAAAAGCCAACUGACGUUUACUCCUGAGGAGCUGACCUGUUGCACCCUCUACAACCAUUGUGAUUAUUAUUAUUUGACCCUGCUGGUCAUCUAUGAAAGUUUGAACAUCUUGGCCAUGUACUAUUAUAAUCUCCACCCCUCAGACCCUAGUUCAUCUCUUGGUUUCUUCCUAGGUUCCUGCCUAAGGAGUUUUUCAGAGGCACUGUGCUUUUACAUCUGCAUUGCUUGCUGUUUGGGGUUUAGGCUGGGUUUCUGUAUAGCACUUUGUGACAUCGGCUGAUGUAAAAAGGGCUUUAAGAAUACAUUUGAUUGAUUGAUUGAUGGCUGGCUGGCUGCUGUCUGGAUGAUUGCGGCUAGCUGUCAUCUUCAUCUCAACUAAUUUGCGUCUCCACGGAUUGCUGCCGGGUACCUCCUUUUCCUCCUCUACGUAGUCUGUACUGCCACUGCCUCAAUCGGCUGAUCAGGCAAAUUCUUUCUUUCAUUCACUGCAUUUAUCACAUUGGCUAAUAUUUUUAUUCACAUACAGUAGGUAUAUUGUUCAAGAUUUGCUCAUUUUUCUCUCUCUUUAUGGGGAUUCUUCGCGGGAGAUAUUUUCAAACAAGGAAGUGCUGUGUGGCACGUGAGGCAUUUUAACCAAUCAGGUUGCCGAAAAGAGCCUUUAAAUGCCAGUAACCAAUCAGAUGUCAGGAAAUGACUCAUCUUUCAGGACAAAGCACUACGUCUACAAAGGGUAUAGCCACGUAUGGACUAGUUAACGAUUUGCUCUGGAAAACAAGCUAUUGAAGGAUAUAUGAUUCAACAUGAGGAGUUUUAGAAAUAGCAUUUGAAGUUUUACAUGAAACAUGCUAUCAAGAACAACAUUUAUGCUAGGUGUAGUUGACGGAGUUGGGAUAAAAUUAUACAAUUCAUGUAUUUAUAUAUAUUAUUGCUAAUUUAUGUCUACAUUUUAUGAAAGUAUGGAAGUCAUAGUUGCAAAAUAUCCCAAAAUCUGAAAAUGUACAGAUGGAAACAAAAUCAAUAUUUUUGCCUGUGGUGCCCGGCCUUAAGAGGGUGUGAAUGAUGCUGAAUAGGUGUAGACAAAGUUCUGUCCAAACAUUAAAGGGCCAUUUCCUCAAAAAUAGGGUUACAAGUUUAUCAACUUUUUAAGCAGAAUUUAUUUCCCCAUUGUUCCUCAACUGCAGUGUAUGAUUUAUAAUUGUCGCUCUGAGUCUCUACUUUUAUCCAAUGUAAAAAAACUGCAUUUCAAAUGUGUCUAUAUAAGACUGAAUCGAGGCGGAUGGUCAAGUGAGCCACUUAUCAACACAUUCCUAACAACUUAACCAUUAAGAAACUUAUAUUCAAUCAAAUAUGUCUCAUGUAGCAAAUACAUUUAUUUUUGACUAUAUUCAACACUCAUUGACCUCAAUAAAAAGAAUCCUCCCAUUGUGGGCUUAUUUUCUUUGACCGAUUUUGGCCGGAGUAAAAC